UACGUAGGGGGCAAGCGUUGUCCGGAUUUAUUGGGCGUAAAGAGCGUGUAGGCGGCUUUACAGGUCCGUUGUGAAAACUCGAGGCUCAACCUCGAGACGCCGGUGGAAACCGUAAGGCUAGAGUCCGGAAGAGGAGAGUGGAAUUCCUGGUGUAGCGGUGAAAUGCGCAGAUAUCAGGAGGAACACCCGUGGCGAAAGCGGCUCUCUGGGACGGUACUGACGCUGAGACGGCGAAAGCUAGGGUAGCGAACGGG
rnacentral:rRNA from 1 species